rnacentral:rRNA from 1 species
GCCAGACUCCUACGGGAGGCAGCAGUGGGGAAUAUUGCACAAUGGGGGAAACCCUGAUGCAGCGACGCCGCGUGAGUGAAGAAGUCAUUCGUGAUGUAAAGCUCUAUCAGCAGGGAAGAAAAUGACGGUACCUGACCAAGAAGCCCCGGCUAACUACGUGCCAGCAGCCGCGGUAAUACGUAGGGGGCAAGCGUUAUCCGGAUUUACUGGGUGUAAAGGGAGCGUAGACGGCAGCGCAAGUCUGAAGUGAAAUCCCAUGGCUUAACCAUGGAACUGCUUUGGAAACUGUGCAGCUGGAGUGCAGGAGAGGUAAGCGGAAUUCCUAGUGUAGCGGUGAAAUGCGUAGAUAUUAGGAGGAACACCAGUGGCGAAGGCGGCUUACUGGACUGUAACUGACGUUGAGGCUCGAAAGCGUGGGGAGCAAACAGGAUUAGAUACCCGCGUACA